AUUGAACGCUGGCGGCAGGCUUAACACAUGCAAGUCGAGCGGAGAUGAGGUGCUUGCACCUUAUCUAGCGGCGGACGGGUGAGUAAUGCUUAGGAAUCUGCCUAUUAGUGGGGGACAACAUUCCGAAAGGAAUGCUAAUACCGCAUACGCCCUACGGGGGAAAGCAGGGGAUCUUCGGACCUUGCGCUAAUAGAUGAGCCUAAGUCGGAUUAGCUAGUUGGUGGGGUAAAGGCCUACCAAGGCGACGAUCUGUAUCGGGUCUGAGAGGAUGAUCCGCCACACUGGGACUGAGACACGGCCCAGACUCCUACGGGAGGCAGCAGUGGGGAAUAUUGGGCAAUGGGCGGAAGCCUGAUCCAGCCAUGCCGCGUGUGUGAAGAAGGCCUUUUGGUUGUAAAGCACUUUAAGCGAGGAGGAGGCUACCUGGAUUAAUACUCUAGGAUAGUGGACGUUACUCGCAGAAUAAGCACCGGCUAACUCUGUGCCAGCCGCCGCGGUAAUAC
rnacentral:rRNA from 1 species